rnacentral:rRNA from 2 species
CACGUAGGGGGCGAGCGUUGUUCGGAAUUACUGGGCGUAAAGGGCAUGUAGGCGGUCUUGUAAGCUUGGCGUGAAAGACCACGGCUCAACCGUGGGAUUGCGUUGAGAACUGCGAGGCUUGAGUGACGGAGAGGGAGCUAGAAUUCCUGGUGUAGGGGUGGAAUCUGUAGAGAUCAGGAAGAAUACCAAUGGCGAAGGCAAGCUCCUGGCCGAUGACUGACGCUGAGGUGCGAAAGUGUGGGGAUCAAACAGG